rnacentral:rRNA from 1 species
AAAAACAUGUCCUUUUGUUUGUAAAUAUAAGGUCUAACCUGCCCAAUGAUUUAAUUUAAUGGCCGCGGUAUAUUAACUGUGCUAAGGUAGCAUAAUCAUUUGUCUUUUAAUUAAAGGCUAGUAUGAAUGGUUGGACAAGAUAUAAUCUUUCUUUAAUUUAAUUUAUGAAUUUAAUUUUUUAGUUAAAAAGCUAAAAUUUAUUUGAGGGACGAGAAGACCCUAUAGAUCUUUAUAUUUUUAAUUAUUGUAUAUAUUAGUAUAUUAAUUAUUAUGAUAAUUAAUAUUAUUUGAUUGGGGUGAUUGUAGAAUUUAAUUAACUUCUAUUUUUAUUUAUUCAUUAAUUAGUGUUUUAAUUGAUCCAUUUUUAUUGAUUAAAAGUUUAAGUUACCUUAGGGAUAACAGCGUAAUUCUUUUGAAGAGUUCAUAUCGAUAAAAGAGUUUGCGACCUCCAUGUUGGAUUAAAAUAAGUCUUAGGUGCAGGAGUUUAAGAACUAGGUCUGUUCGACCUUUAAUUUUUUACAUGAUCUG